GCAAGUCUGGUGCCAGCAGCCGCGGUAAUUCCAGCUCCAAUAGCGUAUAUUAAAGUUGUUGCAGUUAAAACGUCCGUAGUCAAACUUUAGUCUUACCGGCGCGGUGGCCUGGUCUUCAUUGAUCAAGCUCGCUGUCGCUGGAGACUCCACGUCCGCUGGCUCCUAGUCCUCGUGGCUAGGGUUUUGUGGACAAUUACCAUGAGCAAAUCAGAGUGUUUAAAGCAGGCUUUUAAGCUUGAAUGUGUUAGCAUGGAAUAAUGAAAUAUGACUUUAGUCCUAUUUUCGUUGGUUUAGGUACUUCAGUAAUGAUGAAUAGAAACGGUUAGGGGCAUUUGUAUUUGGUCGCUAGAGGUGAAAUUCUUGGAUUGACCGAAGACAAACUACUGCGAAAGCAUUUGCCAA
rnacentral:rRNA from 1 species